GAAAUGUUGAGCCUUCUCAUAUGAAAAUUCGGGAAAUUCUUAAAGAAAUGAGGCUUUAAAUGUUUUCAGAAGAAAGAAACACGUGAGUCAACUAGAAAAGGCAAAGGUAACAAAGAGCGCUUUACUUGCCACGAAUGUGGUAAGCCAGGACACAUGAGAUUUCAAUGUCCUACUUUCCUCAAGAAAGUUGAUUCGGAGAAGAGCACGCAUCGAGACUUCAAGUCAAAGAAGGCCUACAUUUUCUAGGAUGUACCAGAGGAG
rnacentral:lncRNA from 1 species